CCCCCGGGAAACCGUGGGAAACGAGCUUUCCGGCGCGAUGAGUUUCCUCGCGCUCCCCCGGGGGACA
rnacentral:snoRNA from 1 species